AUUGAACGCUGGCGGCAGGCUUGACACAUGCAAGUCGAGCGGGGGAGGUUGCUUCGGUAACUGACCUAGCGGCGGACGGGUGAGUAAUACUUAGGAAUCUGCCUAUUAAUGGGGGACAACAUCUCGAAAGGGAUGCUAAUACCGUAUACGCCCUACGGGGGAAAGCAGGGGAUCACUUGUGACCUUGCGUUAAUAGAUGAGCCUAAGUCGGAUUAGCUAGUUGGUGGGGUAAAGGCCUACCAAGGCGACGAUCUGUAGCGGGUCUGAGAGGAUGAUCCGCCACACUGGGACUGAGACACGGCCCAGACUCCUACGGGAGGCAGCAGUGGGGAAUAUUGGACAAUGGGGGGAACCCUGAUCCAGCCAUGCCGCGUGUGUGAAGAAGGCCUUAUGGUUGUAAAGCACUUUAAGCGAGGAGGAGGCUCUUUUGGUUAAUACCCAAGAUGAGUGGACGUUACUCGCAGAAUAAGCACCGGCUAACUCUGUGCCAGCAGCCGCCGUAAAAC
rnacentral:rRNA from 1 species